rnacentral:rRNA from 1 species
ACACGUAGGGGGCAAGCGUUGUCCGGAAUUACUGGGCGUAAAGAGCGCGUAGGUGGUUAAGUAAGUCAGGUGUGAAAGGCCAGGGCUCAACCUUGGGAUUGCACUUGAAACUGUUUAACUUGAGGGCAGGAGAGGUAAGUGGAAUUCCUGGUGUAGCGGUGAAAUGCGUAGAUAUCAGGAGGAACACCAGUGGCGAAGGCGACUUACUGGCCUGGCUCUGACACUGAGGCGCGAAAGCGUGGGUAGCGAACAGGAUUAGAUACCCUGGUAGUCCACGCUGUAAACGAUGGGUACUAGGUGUAGGAGGUAUCGACCCCUUCUGUGCCGCAGCAAACGCAUUAAGUACCCCGCCUGGGGACUACGGCCGCAAGGCUGAA